AGUGAACGCUGGCGGUAGGCCUAACACAUGCAAGUCGAACGGCAGCACAGUAAGAGCUUGCUCUUACGGGUGGCGAGUGGCGGACGGGUGAGGAAUACAUCGGAAUCUACUUUUUCGUGGGGGAUAACGUAGGGAAACUGACGCUAAUACCGCAUACGACCUACGGGUGAAAGCAGGGGAUCUUCGGACCUUGCGCGAUAGAAUGAGCCGAUGUCGGAUUAGCUAGUUGGCGGGGUAAAGGCCCACCAAGGCGACGAUCCGUAGCAGGGCUGAGAGGAUGAUCAGCCACACUGGAACUGAGACACGGUCCAGACUCCUACGGGAGGCAGCAGUGGGGAAUAUUGGACAAUGGGCGCAAGCCUGAUCCAGCCAUACCGCGUGGGUGAAGAAGGCCUUCGGGUUGUAAAGCCCUUUUGUUGGGAAAGAAAAGCAGCAGGUUAAUCCCCCGCUGUUCUGACGGUACCCAAAGAAUAAGCACCGGCUAACUUCGUG
rnacentral:rRNA from 1 species